GACGAACGCUGGCGGCGUGCUUAACACAUGCAAGUCGAACGGAAAGGCCCUGCUUUUGUGGGGUGCUCGAGUGGCGAACGGGUGAGUAACACGUGAGUAACCUGCCCUUGACUUUGGGAUAACUUCAGGAAACUGGGGCUAAUACCGGAUAGGAGCUCCUGCUGCAUGGUGGGGGUUGGAAAGUUUCGGCGGUUGGGGAUGGACUCGCGGCUUAUCAGCUUGUUGGUGGGGUAGUGGCUUACCAAGGCUUUGACGAGUAGCCGGCCUGAGAGGGUGACCGGCCACAUUGGGACUGAGAUACGGCCCAGACUCCUACGGGAGGCAGCAGUGGGGAAUAUUGCACAAUGGGCGGAAGCCUGAUGCAGCAACGCCGCGUGCGGGAUGACGGCCUUCGGGUUGUAAACCGCUUUCGCCUGUGACGAAGCGUGAGUGACGGUAAUGGGUAAAGAAGCACCGGCUAACUACGUG
rnacentral:rRNA from 1 species